GAAAUGCGAUAAGUAAUGUGAAUUGCAGAAUUCAGUGAAUCAUCGAAUCUUUGAACGCACAUUGCGCCCGCCAGUAUUCUGGCGGGCAUGCCUGUUCGAGCGUCAUUACAACCCUCAGGCCCCCGGGCCUGGCGUUGGGGAUCGGCGGAAGCCCCCUGCGGGCACAACGCCGGCCCCAAAAUACAGUGGCGGUCCCGCCGCAGCUUCCAUUGCGUAGUAGCUAACACCUCGCAACUGGAGAGCGGCGCGGCCACGCCGUAAAACACCCAACUUCUGAAUGUUGACCUCGAAUCAGGUAGGAAUACCCGCUGAACUUAAGC
rnacentral:misc_RNA from 1 species